GGCCCUUUAGCUCAGUGGUAAGAGCGAGCGGAUUAUAACCGGUAGGUCGCCGGUUCAAGCCAGGAAGUGGCCAUCA
rnacentral:tRNA from 1 species